GGGAUUUGAAUCUCGGUAUGCGCUGCUCAGUUACUUCCAGAGCAAUCCACCAAGGAUAGUAUUUUCCUUCUACAGGUCCUAGACUCCUUCAUUCUCUUCAUCUAAAUCCACCAGUACAAAACGCCCUUGGAAAACGCUGACAGAGUCUUUUGACCCUCCGCUGCACCCGUCACUCGCGCAGCCGGCGGAAGUAGAGAGCAGUUGGCCGGAAGUGAGGCUGUGAGGCGGGUAGGCAUUGCCGGGUGAGUAAGUGUGUUAACGAGGCUUGCGAUAUCCCGCGUUUGGUAUUGCGAUCCCCUCCUUCUCCAGGCUCAGAGCUGAGACUCCAAAGUGCCAAGAACCCUGUCAAGUGGUAGUGUGGGAUAUGACCUACCUCGGCUACCAGGGAAGUCAGACAGGAGCCAAGGGGUGCCACUUGGUGUGGCCCUGAAGAAAAUUUUCCAUGGAUGACUGGAACACCCUUCUGUAUUACUCCCUGAAAUCACACUUUGGUUUCUUUCUGAUGCUUGAAACUAUUCUAUGAGCUACAAAGAUGGUAAUAAAUCUUUGCCUCCCACAGUUCAGACCAAGAAUUCACUGCAACAAGAUAUCAGCUGAUGGUUAUGAAGUAGAAAAUCUCAUCUCUGAAGACCUCACAAAGAGAAGCCAUGGUUUUAGGACAGAGUAUUUCAUUAAGCCACCAGUCCACGUGACAGUUUCCUUUCCCUUUAAUGUAUGCCAAAUCUGUAGGAUUCAUAGACCUCACAGCUUGGGGCAGCCAGAAUGUCACUGGCCUGGAGAUGUACACGUCCACCUUAUCCAGCAGAGCCUCUUGGAGUGGGCCCAAGUGCCAGGGCCUCAGCUCCACCGAGCCCUCCUGUGCCCAACAAAGAGGCGUUCACCUUGGUCGGCAAAGUCUUGCUGAAGAACCAGAGCCAAGUGGUAUUCAGCCAGGGCUUCCAAGGCCAGGCCACCUUUUAGCCCAGUGGAAGUCACACUUCCCUCCCCUGCAGUUAUGGCCCAGGAGCUCUGGAAUAAAGGGACUCUUUCCCUUUGCCAUGUGGCCCACCUCAGGAUCUGCAUCACCCACGUGACGGGCAGUGGUGUCCCUUGCAUCAAGAGGUUGGAGGCAGGGUCAGCCGGCCAAGACUUGCUCUCAGGAGGUGAUAGACAGUGUCUUGCUGGUGGCCUCAGAGAGUAUACCUCAGGACCUGGCCCUGCAGAACCGAGCCUCUGCCCAUGGAGAGUGACUGCCACCCGAAGGCCAAUCUGAGGGCCAGCAGGCCCCUUCCAGCCUCGAGGAGCUGGCUGAGGUGAUUUGGGAAGUGCCUGAGGAGUCUCCUGGAUCCCAUCACCCUGGAGAUCAUGCCCUGCCCCAUGCUGCUGCUCCUCGGGCAAGGUCAUCGAUCAGAGCACCCUAGAGAAGUGCUAACCGCAGUGAGGCCACUUGGGGCCGAGUGCCCAGUGACCCAUUCACAGGCAUUGCCUUCACCCCGCACUCCCAACCCCUGCCACACCCCACCCUGAAGGCCCGCAUAGACCACUUCCUGCUCCAGCACUCUGUCCCUAGCUGCCACCUGCUUGGGAGAGCACAGGCUGCACUCAGCAGUGACCCCUUCUUCCAUAACCCCUGCCUUCUCGGAAAAGGAAGCUGGAGCAGGGGCACCGGGCCCAGACAGUAGCCUUGGUGUGAACACUUCCUGCUUUCCUCCGGACCACAAAACUUUCUGGUCUCUUCCACUGCUUCAGAACAUUCCACCAAGAAAAUGAAGGCCACCGACGAGCCUAUCCUGAUGCACAUGGACUGCUCCACAGGGCAGCCUGGCUGCCACCCAGGCCCCGAGUGCACCUCCUGCAAAAGAGUGUUUUCUUCCUACUUCAAAAAAGGAGCCCAUGUACCAGCUGCCCUGUGGCCACCUCCUGUGCCGCCCUUGCCUGGGUGAGAAGCAGCACUCCCUGCCCAUGACCUGCACAGCCUGCCAGCAGCCCUUCACCAGCCAGGAUGUGCUGCGGGUGCACUUCUGACUGACCAGCCUCAGCUGGAGACAGCCAUCACUGGAAGGAGCCAGUGGGGAGCAGGAUUGGGGUCACAGCACCUCUGCGGUUUGGCCAGAGACAGGCACAGAGCUGCCUGUUCUCUUUCUGGGCUUUGUCACCUCACAGUGCAGCACAGGGGUGGGGGGCAGGCUUACUUCUAUUCAGGUGGCCACAAGAUAAAGCCAUAGACUGGGUAGGGAGGGUUGGGGAGAUAUCCCUGCUCUCCUGUACCUCCCUGCCAUGCCCCUGCCAACACCUGCCCAGGGUGGGCACCCCUCCUGAAGGCAUCCCACAUUGUCUGCACACCCCCUCCCAGCAAAGCCUGCAGAGUGGGGCACAGUGAACUGCUCAGGGUCACCCAGAAGUAAACCACACGGGGCUUGGGGUGCAUGACUCAGCCCCUGCCCCCAGCUGGCAACACCUGUGGCCUUAAUAAAGUGAUGGUUGACGUCCUCCUUGGGGAGCACCUGUGUCAUCAUACUCCUGUCCCCAUUUGUCCAUUAAGUGACUGUCACGGGGCACCCAUGAAAGGACAAAAGCUAGAUGGCGUGUUCAGUCUGCCCUGUGUUGGAGGGCCCCAGGUCAGGGUUUGCAGUAGGCAUCACCGUGGGGGCUGUGUAGCCUCCAUCUGCAAGGUACCUGUUGCAGCUGUCAUGGAGAAAACACCUGUGCAGCAUGUGGCCCAUUUCAGGAAAAAAUUUGUGUUUAUAGGCUGUCUUUGUUUUUUUUUCUAUUCACAAUCUAGCUUUAUGGAGUCCCAAAGGAUAUGUAUUCCUACAGCUUUGCUUACCAUAUCAAAUAGAUUCUAGUCACCUGAAGAUUCAGUGAGG
ensembl:lncRNA